rnacentral:tRNA from 2 species
GGUGGAGUAUCCAAGUGGCUAAAGGGCGCAGACUGUAAAUCUGUUCGUUUUUAACGUUCGCUGGUUCGAAUCCGGCCUCCACCACCA